GCAAGAGGAAGAGAAAGAAAUUACGGUAGAGAGAAGCAGGAAAGAGACACGACGACGGUGUUUAGGGUUCCGCCGCAAACACAACGACGGUGGCGACUGUCAUGGUGACCUAGGGUUCUGACUUCGAUAGUAGGCGACGGUUUGUGAACUCUGAUGUUGAUGAAGAUGUCUUAGAAAGGUGGAUGAUGUUAUGCAGUCAAACUCAGGGCAGAUCAGCGAUGGUAAUGGGUGAUCCUCAGUCUUCCGGCGUAUUAGGCUAUAUUGCACCUUUUUUUUUGCUCAGAAGAAUGCAAGAGGAUGUUGAGCUUUCUCUUCCUUGUAAUGGUUAUAUUAUUUAACCAUUAAUGGGUUAUUAAAGUGGGAUAUUACAGGAUAAAUAAUCUAUAGUAUAUAUUAAUUUGUAAGAUUAGUGUGCAUUAUGGUAUUGUACAUGAUGCUUUAAGGGUUGUUUUGUGCUAAGUGUUGUACACAAUGCUUGGUUGGUGACUGGUGUAAUCUUCAUAGUGCCACAUUUAUGCUCUAAUCUUCAUAUUAUGGUGGUGUUGUACGUAUACAACGUACCAAACCUGAAUAAUAUGUGUACAAUAGAGUAGGAGUGACAUUUGUCGUCCACCAAAAUAAAAAGCUACACACAUCCCCAUUAUCAAUGUUCAUGCUUUCUCUCUCUUUGUCUAGAAUAUGCGAUAUAGAGAGAGACGCUUGAGAGUAGGGGAGAUGGUGGCACAACACUGAUAGGCCAUGAUAACGACAGAGAUGGUGUUACCCGGAGGCGAUGUUGGCGAUUUUCCAGCGACCAAGAUUCGAUGGGCUACGAACGGUGAGAUUUUUAGGCUUCCAACAACUUUCGACAACAUUGGGGCUUUUCCAAUGAUCUUUCGGUAAUUAAAGAUUAGAUCGCUGCUGCACCAUUUUCUCGCUGCUGCACCAUUUUCUGAGGCUAGAUUCAUUUGUUCAUGUUUCAUACUUCUUAGAUUCAUCACUUUCUAAUAUUUUAAUAUAAUAUUUUGUUGUGGUACCCUUACCAGUUACUCAGACUUCAACAGGGAAAAGUUAUGGUUUUGGGCUUAUUUCAUCUACCAGUUUCAUUUAGUAUUUGAUUAAAAAAUAAUAUAGUCGCUCUUAUUUUGUUUUUUCAUGAUUCAUUCAGGAAAAACGAACCUGAUGUGUCAGAUUGAUCUAAAAGGGUGCUGAGAAAAAGAACGCCGUUUUAGGUAUUUGAUUUCGAAUUUACUCUUU